UACGUAGGGGGCUAGCGUUGUCCGGAAUCAUUGGGCGUAAAGAGCGUGUAGGCGGUCCGGUAAGUCCGCUGUGAAAGUCGGGGGCUCAACCCUCGAAUGCCGGUGGAUACUGUCGGGCUAGAGUGCGGAAGAGGCAGGUGGAAUUCCGGGUGUAGCGGUGGAAUGCGUAGAGAUCCGGAAGAACACCGGUGGCGAAGGCGGCCUGCUGGGCAGUAGCUGACGCUGAUGCGCGACAGCGUGGGGAGCAAACAGG
rnacentral:rRNA from 1 species